UCCGAUGUAGUCUAGUUGGUUAGGAUAUACGGCUUUCACCCGUAAGACUCGGGUUCGAAUCCCGGCGUCGGAG
rnacentral:tRNA from 1 species